UUGAACGCUGGCGGCAUGCCUUACACAUGCAAGUCGAACGGCAGCACGGGUGCUUGCACCUGGUGGCGAGUGGCGAACGGGUGAGUAAUACAUCGGAACAUGUCCUGUAGUGGGGGAUAGCCCGGCGAAAGCCGGAUUAAUACCGCAUACGAUCUACGGAUGAAAGCGGGGGACCUUCGGGCCUCGCGCUAUAGGGUUGGCCGAUGGCUGAUUAGCUAGUUGGUGGGGUAAAGGCCUACCAAGGCGACGAUCAGUAGCUGGUCUGAGAGGACGACCAGCCACACUGGGACUGAGACACGGCCCAGACUCCUACGGGAGGCAGCAGUGGGGAAUUUUGGACAAUGGGCGAAAGCCUGAUCCAGCAAUGCCGCGUGUGUGAAGGAGGCCUUCGGGUUGUAAAGCACUUUUGUCCGGAAAGAAAUCCUUGGCCCUAAUACGGUCGGGGGAUGACGGUACCGGAAGAAUAAGCACCGGCUAACUACGUG
rnacentral:rRNA from 1 species